AAAUAGCUUAAUUAGAGCAUGACGUUGAAGGUGUUAGGGUGGUAUUUAUUACCUUUGAGUA
rnacentral:tRNA from 1 species